rnacentral:tRNA from 2 species
CGGGCUGUGGCGCAGUCUGGUUAGCGCACUGGUCUGGGGGACCAGGGGUCGGAGGUUCAAAUCCUCUCAGCCCGACCA